UACGUAGGGUGCAAGCGUUGUCCGGAAUUAUUGGGCGUAAAGAGCUCGUAGGCGGCUUGUCACGUCGGCUGUGAAAACCCGGGGCUCAACUCCGGGCCUGCAGUCGAUACGGGCUGGCUUGAGUGCGGUAGGGGAGACUGGAAUUCCUGGUGUAGCGGUGAAAUGCGCAGAUAUCAGGAGGAACACCGGUGGCGAAGGCGGGUCUCUGGGCCGUAACUGACGCUGAGGAGCGAAAGCGUGGGGAGCGAACAGG
rnacentral:rRNA from 1 species